UACGGAGGGGGCUAGCGUUGUUCGGAAUUACUGGGCGUAAAGCGCACGUAGGCGGCUUUGUAAGUUAGAGGUGAAAGCCCAGGGCUCAACCCUGGAAUUGCCUUUAAGACUGCAUCGCUUGAACAUCGGAGAGGUAAGUGGAAUUCCUGGUGUAGCGGUGAAAUGCGCAGAUAUCAGGAAGAACACCAAUGGCGAAAGCAGCUCUCUGGGACGGUACUGACGCUGAGACGCGAAAGCGUGGGGAGCGAACAGG
rnacentral:rRNA from 1 species